rnacentral:lncRNA from 1 species
GCGCUGCAUCCCAUUGGAGGCUGUGGCCGUCACUCAUGGCGCCCUCGUGUCACUUCAAUGGCUGCGCCCCUGGCCUUCGUAUUCCUCCCCACCUAUGAGCAGGCGCCUUCCACCUGCCGGCCGCAGAGAUUGGCUGACACCCCCCCAAUACGUCAGCGGGUGGCACCGCCCUCAGCGCCCACCACAGAUGGAGGCAGCUUUGGCGGCGGGGGGGCGCAAGGGAUUUUGGGAACUGGCGCAGGGAGGUCUGGGAGCAGUAUUGCCACCCAGGCCUGUGGAAGAGCAACGUCACACUGGGACUAGGACUGGAGCUGGGCAUGGAUGUGCAGAGUGUGGGCGCAGGGGCCCUGGGCAGCCUGGCCAUGCUGCUCUGCAGCAACAAGCCCACGUACCUGGUGGCGGCUGGCCCACUGUCUCCCCAGUACCAUGGGCACCCGGCGGACUAGCACGUGCAGGGGGGGACCAGGCCGCAGCUGCCUGGAGUUGUUGGAUCCAUUCCAGCCACAUCCACGACUACUGACCCCCGCGCAUCUUUGCAAGGGCCUGGCCCCAACUGCAGGGUCUGAGGCCACACAAGGUUUUGCAUUGCUUCUCUGCAGAGUGUAAUCCUAGCAAUAAACAUAGAGCUGCA